CCCCUAGUAACUGCGAGUGAAGCGGGAAAAGCUCAAAUUUAAAAUCUGGCGGUCUUUGGCUGUCCGAGUUGUAAUCUAGAGAAGUGAUGCCCGUGCUGGACCGUGUACAAGUCUCCUGGGAUGGAGCGUCAUAGAGGGUGAGAAUCCCGUCUCUGACACGGACUACCAGUGCUUUGUGGUACGCUCUCAACGAGUCGAGUUGUUUGGGAAUGCAGCUCAAAAUGGGUGGUAAAUUCCAUCUAAAGCUAAAUAUUGGCGAGAGACCGAUAGCGAACAAGUACCGUGAGGGAAAGAUGAAAAGAACUUUGGAAAGAGAGUUAAACAGUACGUGAAAUUGCUGAAAGGGAAACGCUUGAAGUCAGUCGCGUCGGCCGGGGAUCAGCCUUGCUUUAGCUUGGUGUACUUUCCGGUUGACGGGUCAGCAUCAAUUUUGACCGCUGGAAAAAGGCAUGGGGAAUGUGGCAGCUCCGGCUGUGUUAUAGCUUCAUGUCACAUACAGCGGUUGGGAUUGAGGAACUCAGCACGCCGCAAGGCCGGGUUUYGACCACGUUCGUGCUUAGGAUGCUGGCAUAAUGGCUUUAAGCGACCCGUCUUGAAACACGGACCAAGGAGUCUAACAUGCCUGCGAGUGUUUGGGUGGUAAACCCGAGCGCGUAAUGAAAGUGAAAGUUGAGAUCCCUGUCGCGGGGAGCAUCGACGCCCGGACCAGAACUUUUGGGACGGAUCCGCGGUAGAGCAUGUAUGUUGGGACCCGAAAGAUGGUGAACUAUGCCUGAAUAGGGUGAAGCCAGAGGAAACUCUGGUGGAGGCUCGUAGCGAUUCUGACGUGCAAAUCGAUCGUCAAAUUUGGGUAUAGGGGCGAAAGACUAAUCGA
rnacentral:rRNA from 1 species